rnacentral:lncRNA from 1 species
UUUAUCCUAAUUAUUUAUAAAAUAGUACCUACCUCGAAGAUGGAGAACGAGAUGAUUUAUGAGAGAGUCCAAACGAGAUUGGCGGAUCGAAAAACACAGACUGGACUUGAUGCUCUAAAAUCUUCGUUAUUGGGGCCUUGAUGGAAAAUAGUAGACGGCUAGAAAAAAUAAAAAUAAAAUGAAAAAUAUCUAUCAAGAUUUCCAAUUAUAGUCAGAAAAAUAAAACCA